rnacentral:tRNA from 1 species
GCGGAUAUGGCGGAAUUGGCAGACUCGCCAGAUUUAGGGUCUGGUGUCCCCGACGUGCAGGUUCAAGUCCUGUUAUCCGCA